rnacentral:rRNA from 1 species
AGUGGACGCUGGCGGUAGGCCUAACACAUGCAAGUCGAACGGCAGCACAGUAAGAGCUUGCUCUUACGGGUGGCGAGUGGCGGACGGGUGAGGAAUACAUCGGAAUCUACUUUUUCGUGGGGGAUAACGUAGGGAAACUUACGCUAAUACCGCAUACGACCUACGGGUGAAAGCAGGGGAUCUUCGGACCUUGCGCGAUUGAAUGAGCCGAUGUCGGAUUAGCUAGUUGGCGGGGUAAAGGCCCACCAAGGCGACGAUCCGUAGCUGGUCUGAGAGGAUGAUCAGCCACACUGGAACUGCGACACGGUCCAGACUCCUACGGGAGGCAGCAGUGGGGAAUAUUGGACAAUGGGCGCAAGCCUGAUCCAGCCAUACCGCGUGGGUGAAGAAGGCCUUCGGGUUGUAAAGCCCUUUUGUUGGGAAAGAAAAGCAGCAGGUUAAUACCCCGCUGUUCUGACGGUACCCAAAGAAUAAGCACCGGCUAACUUCGUG